UCCUUCGUAUGUGAUGUAACGUUUAUCAACGAACGAGUUACACGUGGCGUUAAAGAUAUAUUUCGUCCACUUAGUUUAUCCAGACAGACGUACAACUUGUUGACACUAUGAAUUAUAUACUCUCAGAAGCGCACUAAGCACAAAGCCCCAGCAAUUUUUGCAGCGCCGGGCCGCGGGGUGGCGGGAACACUGUGCCGCCAACACACCGUGGAGAGAUGACUGCGACAGGUGUCCGCACUGUGGCAGUUAUCGCCGGAACUGGACGGUUAUGCUAACAUGAGGUAGGGAGGGAAGAAGGACGCUGGGAAAGGCCUUUGUCUUCCUGGGGAAUAGCAACUAACCGCUUCUCUAUUUACCUGUUGUCUUAUUAAUCCAUUCAUCUACAGCUUCUCUUAUUUACUUAUUUGCUCUUCUUUUAGUCAUACAGUUUUUCAUCAGUCACCUAUUUAUGUACUCAUCACUUGUUCAUCCACCUGCUCCACCUCACUCAUCACUAUCUCUUACUCACUCUCCCUCCCGCCGCAGGGAGGAGCGCUUCAACAACCUGUCUCCGCACCUGUCCUACGCCAUCACCAACGAGAGUUCCAAUUACCUGCUGUUCGGUAACAGCGCCAAUGUCCUUCAGUCCUACGUGUAUGAGCGUGUCCAGCCCUUCGCCAGAGUGGCCGCGCCCCUCCCGCCCGAGGCCUGGACGCACCUCUGUCACGUCGUCACCCCCACCACUUACACCCUGUACUGCAGAGGGGAGGUGAGGAGGUGUGGAGGGUUAGGGGCUAAGUGUGUGUAAGGUUGGGUGCAGGGGUGAAGUGUGUGGAAGGUUGGGUGCAGGGGUGAAGUGUGUGUAAGGUUGGGUGCAGGGGUGAAGUGUGUGGAAGGUUGGGUGCAGGGGUGAAGUGUGUGGAAGGUUGG